UACGUAGGGUGCGAGCGUUGUCCGGAAUUACUGGGCGUAAAGAGCUCGUAGGUGGUUUGUCGCGUUGUUCGUGAAAACUCACAACUCAAUUGUGGGCGUGCGGGCGAUACGGGGCAGACUGGAGUACUGCAGGGGAGACUGGAAUUCCUGGUGUAGCGGUGAAAUGCGCAGAUAUCAGGAGGAACACCGGUGGCGAAGGCGGGUCUCUGGGCAGUAACUGACGCUGAGGUGCGAAAGCGUGGGGAGCAAACAGGA
rnacentral:rRNA from 1 species